GUGAGCUUCUGGAGUGGAGCCUCGCAGAUUGGAGAGAAGAUUGGAUGUGGCCCCAAGCCUCAGGAAGAGAGAAGAUUCAAAGUGGCUCUGAGGCAGAUGCAGGUUGGUGAUGGAGCUCUAUGGUAGACGGCUUGCCUAUUCCCAGCACUGGAAACAAACAAGUCUACUUGGUUUUGUUUUUUGUUGUUAUUGUUGUUGUGUUUUUUUUUUCUUUGAGACAGCAAGACAUCAUGAUACACAGGGAUAGAGUAGGAAAUCAGUGCUGACCGACAAGCUACUGGCAGUAGGUCUAAGGUCACUGUCUUCGCUGUGCCAGCUAUUAGGACAAGCUCACUGACUUCCUGUCCUGUGUCUGUGGGCUUUGCAGUGGGAACAGGGCAUGUGUCCUUAUCUGCCACACCUCUUUAGUGGUGAUUGUUCCCUCUGACCCAGUCUGGACGGACCUGGGCCUGGCUGAGCAAUACUAAUGAGGGCGGAACAAGAGGCAUACAAUGUGGAGCCAUGGGAUAUCGGUGUUUGUCCUCAGACACUCAUGGACUCUGCUGAAGAUGUGGCUGGACGGCAGAUGUUCCUUGCGUGAGAGGAACCCUAACAGCACAGAAACAAAGGAACAGACACCUCCUGCACUGGGGCUGCCUUCCUGGAUGCGAGCAGAACUCCUGAGCUCUGCUUGUUCCUUCCUAACUGUGGAGCAGGCCAUGGGACUAAGGCCAGCUCCGUGCCACUUUUAGUCAAGACUCCAAAUCCUGAAUGUUGUCAUCUAAAAGCUACAUGUUUGUACACACACACACACACAC